rnacentral:tRNA from 1 species
CGCGGGGAAGAGUAACAGUUGCUCGUCAGCCUCAUAAGCUGAAGGUAGUGGGUGCAAUUCCCGCCCCCGCAA